rfam:Schistosoma haematobium scaffold13_34, whole genome shotgun sequence.
GCACUGCUGAGGAGUCCCAUAUUGGGACGAAACAGCCGUCUAGUAC